rnacentral:rRNA from 1 species
GAGUUUGAUCUUGGCUCAGAUUGAACGCUAGCGGGAUGCCUUACACAUGCAAGUCGAACGGCAGCACGGACUUCGGUCUGGUGGCGAGUGGCGAACGGGUGAGUAAUGUAUCGGAACGUGCCUAGUAGCGGGGGGAUAACUACGCGAAAGCGUAGCUAAUACCGCAUACGCCCUACGGGGAAAGCAGGGGAUCGCAAGACCUUGCACUAUUAGAGCGGCCGAUAUCGGAUUAGCUAGUUGGUGGGGUAACGGCUCACCAAGGCGACGAUCCGUAGCUGGUUUGAGAGGACGACCAGCCACACUGGGACUGAGACACGGCCCAGACUCCUACGGGAGGCAGCAGUGGGGAAUUUUGGACAAUGGGGGAAACCCUGAUCCAGCCAUCCCGCGUGUGCGAUGAAGG